AUACGGAGGAUCCGAGCGUUAUCCGGAUUUAUUGGGUUUAAAGGGUGCGCAGGCGGCCAUUUAAGUCAGCGGUUAAAUCGUGGGGCUCAACCCCAUUCUGCCGUUGAUACUGGGUGGCUUGAUUGCGGUCGAGGUUGGCGGAAUUCGUUGUGUAGCGGUGAAAUGCAUAGAUAUGACGAAGAACACCGAUUGCGUAGGCAGCUGACCAGACCGCAAAUGACGCUCAUGCACGAAAGUGUGGGGAUCGAACAGGAUUAGAUACCCUGGUAGUCCGCACAGUAAACGAUGAAUACUUGUUUUCGGCGAUAUAAUGUCGGAGGCAAAGCGAAAGCGAUAAGUAUUCCACCUGGGGAGUACGCCGGCAACGGUGAAACUCAAAUGAAUUGACGGGG
rnacentral:rRNA from 1 species